rnacentral:rRNA from 1 species
AUGCACGCUGGCGGCGUGCCUAAUACCUGCCAGUCGCGCGAACAGACGAGGAGCUUGCUCCUCUGACGUUAGCGGCGGACGGGUGAGUAACACGUGGAUAACCUACCUAUAAGACUGGGAUAACUUCGGGAAACCGGAGCUAAUACCGGAUAAUAUAUUGAACCGCAUGGUUCAAUAGUGAAAGACGGUUUUGCUGUCACUUAUAGAUGGAUCCGCGCCGCAUUAGCUAGUUGGUAAGGUAACGGCUUACCAAGGCGACGAUGCGUCGCCGACCUGAGAGGGUGAUCGGCCACACUGGAACUGAGACACGGUCCAGACUCCUACGGGAGGCAGCAGUAGGGAAUCUUCCGCAAAGGGCGAAAGCUUGACGGAGCAACGCCGCGUGAGUGAUGAAGGUCUUCGGAUCGUAAAACUCUGUUAUUAGGGAAGAACAAAUGUGUAAGUAACUAUGCACGUCUUGACGGUACCUAAUCAGAAAGCCACGGCUAACUACGUG